rnacentral:rRNA from 1 species
GACGAACGCUGGCGGCGUGCCUAAUACAUGCAAGUCGAACGCUGAAGGAAGGAGCUUGCUCUUUCCGGAUGAGUUGCGAACGGGUGAGUAACGCGUAGGUAACCUGCCUGGUAGCGGGGGAUAACUAUUGGAAACGAUAGCUAAUACCGCAUAACAGUAGAUGUUGCAUGAUAUCUACUUAAAAGGUGCAAUUGCACCACUACCAGAUGGACCUGCGUUGUAUUAGCUAGUUGGUGAGGUAACGGCUCACCAAGGCGACGAUACAUAGCCGACCUGAGAGGGUGAUCGGCCACACUGGGACUGAGACACGGCCCAGACUCCUACGGGAGGCAGCAGUAGGGAAUCUUCGGCAAUGGACGGAAGUCUGACCGAGCAACGCCGCGUGAGUGAAGAAGGUUGUCGGAUCGUAAAGCUCUGUUGUAAGAGAAGAACGAGUGUGAGAGUGGAAAGUUCACACUGUGACGGUAGCUUACCAGAAAGGGACGGCUAACUACGUG